GGGAUUGUAGUUAAUUAUAACACUUGAUUUGCAUUCAAGAAGUAUCUUAAAGAUCUUUCUCA
rnacentral:tRNA from 1 species